GAUCUCCGGGUCUGAGCGGGCCAGGUGGUGGUGUUCCUCAGGUGUCGGGGCGGAGAGGACCCUGGCCUGGUCCCCCGGUUACGGAGGAGCCGAGAUUCAGUGUCUCUGGCCCUGGGAAUCCGAGGUGACCGGGGAGUGGGGCUCAGCGGUCCACGGAGUGAUGUCCAAGGUUCACCUGCAACUAACUCCCUCCUCCCCGCACCUUCCAACUUCCAAAGAUGGGGUGAAGAGUUGGGGUGACAAGAGCAGAGACUGGGAACGCAGACAGGUUCGGAGCAUUCAGACUGACAUAUCCUACUUAGCGGCUCUAAGAGCGUGGACACCAAGAGACAGAUGAUCCUGGAGUUUGUUAGGUGUGCUAAGAAGAAAACGUAGAUUGUGGACAAUAUGUUGUCCAGAUUGCUUUCACUGGCCUAACCCAAAUAAGCGGAUAGCUUUUCUGGUUUCUAGGAGAAAACUGGCAAAGGAAAAAUGAGGCUAUUUUUACAGGAAAGGGGACAGAAUCAUUUCUAUCUAAGCCAUUGUUAUUUUUCAGAUUUAAGCUAGGAUUGUGGAUAGUUCUAGGGAAAGUCUAAAACCUUCCUGCACUUCACAGAUUUUAUACCUCAAAAGUGUUCCCAUCUUGUUGGCUUUUGCGGUUCGGCCCUCAGAUACCAGCUGUCUCCUGUGUCUGAUGCUGCAGCAGAUGGGACCAAGGCCCCAAGAGGGAAGUCACUUACCAGAGUGUGUAGGUUCUUUAUCCAGAGCUCAAGUCUUCUGACUCUUGGGAACAGCAAGACCUGCCCUUCUAGCUCCUCUCCUCAUGUGCUUGUCUGAGUGGGCCUGCAGUGACCCAGAGUGAAUUUGCCAUUGGCCCAACAUGAACUGGAAGGUCCUUGAACACGUGCCCCUGCUACUGUAUAUCUUGGCAGCCAAAACCUUAAUUCUCUGCCUGGCAUUUGCUGGAGUCAAAAUAUACCAAAGGAAAAGAUUGGAAGCAAAACAGCAAAAACUGGAAGCUGAGAAAAAGCAGCAGUCCGAGAAGAAAGAGAACUAAAGGGAAAUCAGAGAAUUUGCAAUUUAAAUGUCAGCCUGAGUGGAUUUCAGCUGAGAAGAAAGAAGAGACAUUUACUGAAUGGUGUGUCAAAGGAUAAACCCCCAACCUGUAGGGUUAACUUAAAAUUAUCUGGACUUUUUCAUGCUCCUAAAAGAACCCAUAUUUUGUUUACUAAAAUAAAAUACCUUU